UGUGACAGUUAUACCAGUGUGAGGGCACAGUGACACCAUUUACUAACCCUGUGUGUAUUUCCUACCUUCUGUCUGUGUCUCUGCAUGUUCUCAGUAACAUUACCCUGCCUCUGUCAGUAAAAGUGUGUGACAGAAACAGUCCCUGUGUCAGUGCUUAAUAAGUUGUGUGUGUUUCAGGUGCCUAUAAAGUGUGAUGAUGUUGCUGUGUAUUUCUCUAUGGAGGAGUGGGAGUAUAUAGAGAGACACAAGGAGCUUUACAAGGACAUCAUGAUGGAGACUCACCAAGCACUAAGGACUAUAGAGAUCCCAGGAAAUGAGAGCUCAGAACUAACAGGUCACAGUGAUGAAAAUCUAGACACAGGAGCACAUAGAGAACUUGAACAGAGUAUUCAGCCAGUGGAGACCCCAUCGGACGUCUCUGCAGAACUGACAGGUCACAGUGA